rnacentral:sRNA from 1 species
AGAGAUUCUACCACUGCAUCGAGUGUGAUACGAUAUUUAUCCACUCGAGACAGUUAAAUUUUCAAAUUUAAAACGCCAGGCUUGCCGAGCGUUUUAAAUAUUUAAAAUUUAACUGUCGAGAGUGGAUAAAUAUCUUAUUGCACGAGAUGCAGUGGUAGAAUCUGUUUCUCU